rnacentral:rRNA from 1 species
GCAAAAGAAGUAGGUAGCUUAACCUUCGGGAGGGCGCUUACCACUUUGUGAUUCAUGACUGGGGUGAAGUCGUAACAAGGUAACCGUAGGGGAACCUGCGGUUGGAUCACCUCCUUACCU